UAGAGUUUGAUCAUGGCUCAGAGCGAACGCUGGCGGCGUGCUUAACACAUGCAAGUCGAGUGCGCGUCUGUAGCAAUACAGAUGGCGCACGGCGCACGGGUGCGUAACACGUGGGUAAUCUGCCCUUCGAAGGGGAAUAACUCGCCGAAAGGCGAGCUAAUUCCGCAUAACAUUCCGAGAACCUUGGUUUUUGGAUUCAAAGGCGUAAGUCGUCGGAGGAGGAGCCCGCGCACGAUUAGCUAGUUGGUAGGGUAAUGGCCUACCAAGGCUAUGAUCGUUAGCUGGUCUGGGAGGAUGGCCAGCCACAUCGGGACUGAGAGACGGCCCAGACUCCUACGGGUGGCAGCAGUGGGGAAUCUUGCGCAAUGGCCGAAAGGCUGACGCAGCGACGCCGCGUGGGGGAUGAAGCAUUUCGGUGUGUAAACCCCUGUUGCCCGGGACGAAUCCUGGUUUUCGAGCCAGUUGACGGUACCGGGUGAGGAAGCACCGGCUAACUCCGUGCCAGCAGCCGCGGUAA
rnacentral:rRNA from 1 species